rnacentral:rRNA from 1 species
UACGGAGGGUGCAAGCGUUGCUCGGAAUCAUUGGGCGUAAAGCGCGUGUAGGCGGUCCGGUAAGUCUGCUGUGAAAGUCGGGGGCUCAACCCUCGAAUGCCGGUGGAUACUGUCGGGCUAGAGUGCGGAAGAGGCGAGUGGAAUUCCUGGUGUAGCGGUGAAAUGCGCAGAUAUCAGGAGGAACACCUAUUGCGAAGGCAGCUCGCUGGGACGUAACUGACGCUGAGACGCGAAAGCGUGGGGAGCAAACAGG